GACUGGUUAGCUCAGUCAUUUGAGCGUAGUGCUAGCAACGCUAAGGUUGCGGGUUCGAUUCCUGUUUGGUCA
rnacentral:tRNA from 1 species